rnacentral:rRNA from 1 species
CGUAUAUUAAAGUUGUUGCGGUUAAAAAGCUCGUAGUUGGAUUUCUGUUGAGAACAGGCGGUCCACCUCUUGGGUGAGUAUCUGCAUUGGUCUCGGCAUCCUCUCGAAACUCGUUGCUGCGCUUGAUUGCGUGGUGCGGUGUUCGGGACUUUUACUUUGAGGAAAUUAGAGUGUUCACGGCAGGCAUUCGCCUUGAAUAUAUUAGCAUGGAAUAAUACUAUAGGAUCUUGGUUCUAUUUUGUUGGUUUCUAGGGCUAAGAUAAUAAUCAAUAGGGACAAUUGGGGGCAUUCGUAUUACGGCGUCAGAGGUGAAAUUCUUGGAUUGCCGUACGACGAACUACUGCGAAAGCAUUUGCCAAGGAUGUUUUCAUUGAUCAAGAACGAAAGUAAGGGGAUCGAAGAUGAUUAGAUACCGUCGUAGUCUUUACCAUAAACUAUGCCGACUAGGGAUGAGGCGUCGUUCUUCUAUGACUCGCUUCGCACCUUAUGAGAAAUCAAAGUUUUUGGGUUCCGGGGGGAGUAUGGUCGCAAGGCUGAAACUUAAAG